rnacentral:rRNA from 1 species
UACGGAGGGAGCUAGCGUUGUUCGGAAUUACUGGGCGUAAAGCGCACGUAGGCGGCUUUGUAAGUCAGAGGUGAAAGCCUGGAGCUCAACUCCAGAAUUGCCUUUGAGACUGCAUCGCUUGAAUCCAGGAGAGGUGAGUGGAAUUCCGAGUGUAGAGGUGAAAUUCGUAGAUAUUCGGAAGAACACCAGUGGCGAAGGCGGCUCACUGGACUGGUAUUGACGCUGAGGUGCGAAAGCGUGGGGAGCAAACAGG